rnacentral:rRNA from 1 species
UGAGGAACAUGACCUUCGGCGGGGGGAUAGCCGGCCCAACGGCCGGGUAAUACCGCGUACGACCACAUGGGGACAUCCCUGAGUGGUGAAAGCAGCAAUGCGCCGAAAGAGUGCCUCGCGGCCUAUCAGCUAGUUGGUGGGGUAAUGGCUCACCAAGGCAACGGACGGGUAGCUGGCCUGAGAGGAUGGCCAGCCACAUUGGGACUGAGACACGGCCCAGACUCCGUAGGGAG